rnacentral:rRNA from 1 species
AUUUUGGACCAUGGAGGAACCCCUGAUCCAGCCAUCCCGCGCGCAUGAUGAAGGCCUUCGCAUCGUCCAGUACUUUUGGCAGAGACGACCAGGUUCCUCCUACUACGAGGUACUGCUGACGGUAUCUCCAGAAUAAUCGCCGGCUAACUCCGUGCCAGCAGCCGCGGUAAUACGGAGGGUGCAGGCGUUAAUCGGAAUUCCUGGGAGUAAAGCGUGUGUAGGCGGUUCUGAAAGAAAGAUGUGAGAUCCCAGGGCUCAACCGUGGAACUGCAUUUAUGACUGCCGAGCUAGAAUAUGUCAGAGGUGGGUAGAAGUCCACGUGUAGCAGUGAAAUGAGUAGAUAUGUGGAGGAAUACCGAUGGCGAAGGCAGCACCCUGGGAUAAUUCUGACGCUCAGACACGAAAGCGUGGGAAGCAAACAG